rnacentral:rRNA from 1 species
UACAGGGGGGGCAAGCGUCGUUCGGAAUUACUGGGCGUAAAGGGCUCGUAGGCGGCCAACUAAGUCCGACGUGAAAUCCCAAGGCUUAACUUUGGAACUGCGUCGGAUACUGGAUGGCUUGAAUUCGGGAGAGGGAUGCAGAAUUCCAGGUGUAGCGGUGAAAUGCGUAGAUAUCUGGAGGAAUACCGGUGGCGAAGGCGGCAUCCUGGACCGACAUUGACGCUGAGGAGCGAAAGCUAGGGGAGCAAACGGG